CCCUUAGAUGCUCUGGGCCGCACGCGCGCUACACUGGUUGAUGCAACGAGUUUCUUUCCUUGGCCGACAGGCCUGGGCAAUCUUUGAACAUCGAUCGUGAUCGGGAUAGAUUCUUGUAAUUUUUGAUCUUAAACGAGGAAUUCCUAGUAAACGCAAGUCAUCAGCUUGCAUUGAUUACGUCCCUGCCCUUUGUACACACCGCCCGUCGCACCUACCGAUUGAAUGGUCCGGUGAAAUCUCCGGACUGGCGUGAGUCGGAGCAAUCUGACAAACACCGGAAAGUUGAUUAAACCUUACCAUUUAGAGGAAGGUGAAGUCGUAACA
rnacentral:rRNA from 1 species